UCCAGACUCCUACGGGAGGCAGCAGUGGGGAAUAUUGCACAAUGGGGGAAACCCUGAUGCAGCGACGCCGCGUGAGCGAGGAAGUAUUUCGGUAUGUAAAGCUCUAUCAGCAGGGAAGAAAAUGACGGUACCUGACUAAGAAGCCCCGGCUAACUACGUGCCAGCAGCCGCGGUAAUACGUAGGGGGCAAGCGUUAUCCGGAUUUACUGGGUGUAAAGGGAGCGUAGGCGGCUGUGUAAGCCAGAAGUGAAAGCCCGGGGCUCAACUCCGGGACUGCUCUGGAAACUGCGUCGCUGGAGUACGGGAGGGGCAGGCGGAAUUCCUGGUGUAGCGGUGAAAUGCGUAGAUAUCAGGAGGAACACCGGCGGCGAAGGCGGCCUGCUGGACCGUGACUGACGUUGAGGCUCGAGAGCGUGGGGAGCAAACAGGAUUAGAUACCCCAGUA
rnacentral:rRNA from 1 species